AUUGAACGCUGGCGGCAGGCCUAACACAUGCAAGUCGAGCGAGCGGCGGACGGGUGAGUAAUGUCUGGGAAACUGCCUGAUGGAGGGGGAUAACUACUGUAAACGGUAGCUAAUACCGCAUACCAUCAGAUGUGCCCAGGUGGGAUUAGCUAGUAGGUGGGGUAACGGCUCACCUAGGCGACGAUCCCUCGCUGGUCUGCGAGGAUGACCAGCCACACUGGUACGUAACCACGGUCCAGACUCCUACGGGAGGCAGCAGUGGGGAAUAUUGCACCAUGGGCGCAAGCCUGAUACAGCCAUGCCUCGUGUGUGAAGAAGGCCUUCGCGUUGUAAAGCACUUUCAGCGGCGAGGCGUUACCCGCAGAAGAAGCAACGGCUAACUCCGGGCCAGCAGCCGCGGUAAUAC
rnacentral:rRNA from 1 species